rnacentral:rRNA from 1 species
CACGUAGGGCGCAAGCGUUGUCCGGAAUUAUUGGGCGUAAAGAGCUCGUAGGCGGUCUGUUACGUCUGCUGUGAAAACCCGGGGCUUAACCCUGGGCUUGCAGUGGAUACGGGCAGACUAGAGGCAGGUAGGGGAGAAUGGAAUUCCCGGUGUAGCGGUGAAAUGCGCAGAUAUCUGGAGGAACACCGGUGGCGAAGGCGACAUCCUGGACCGGUAUUGACGCUGAGGCGCGAAAGCCAGGGGAGCAAACGGG